UAGUGUUGAUAUAAAGUGUUGUUUCAAGGUGCAGUGCUUUAUGGAGCUCUAUAAGGGUUGAACGUUUACCACAACUUGAAUAGGUAGUAAUGCUGAAAGAAAAUGUUCUAA
rnacentral:ncRNA from 1 species